GAUGAACGCUGGCGGCGUGCCUAAUACAUGCAAGUCGAGCGAACAGACGAGGAGCUUGCUCCUCUGACGUUAGCGGCGGACGGGUGAGUAACACGUGGAUAACCUACCUAUAAGACUGGGAUAACUUCGGGAAACCGGAGCUAAUACCGGAUAAUAUAUUGAACCGCAUGGUUCUAUAGUGAAAGACGGUUUUGCUGUUUCUUAUAGAUGGAUCCGCGCCGUAUUAGCUAGUUGGUAAGGUAACGGCCUACCAAGGCGAGGAAGCGUAGCCGACGUGGAAGGGGGGUAGCCGGCACGGGAGCGGGACCGGCCACAAUGCGCCUAAGAGAGGGCGCAGAAUGCUACGUGCCGCAACAGGGGGAAACAUGACGGAGUAACGGCGAGUGAGUGGUGGAGGUGUUGGGUGCGGAAAGCUCGGUUUUGGGGGGAAAACCAAUGUGUGAAUGACAGUGCAGGGAUUGACGGUACCUGAACAAGAAGCGACGGCUAACUACGUG
rnacentral:rRNA from 1 species